rnacentral:tRNA from 1 species
CGGGGUACGGUAAAAGUAGUGAAAAUCGCGUUCGGGACGCAGAGGCCGGAGGUUCGAAUCCUCUCACCCCGACCA